AUUGAACGCUGGCGGCAUGCUUUACACAUGCAAGUCGAACGGCAGCGCGGGCUUCGGCCUGGCGGCGAGUGGCGAACGGGUGAGUAAUACAUCGGAACGUGCCCAGUAGUGGGGGAUAGCUCUGCGAAAGCCGGAUUAAUACCGCAUACGACCUGAGGGUGAAAGCGGGGGAUCUUCGGACCUCGCGCUAUUGGAGCGGCCGAUGGCAGAUUAGCUAGUUGGUGGGGUAAAGGCCUACCAAGGCGACGAUCUGUAGCUGGUCUGAGAGGACGACCAGCCACACUGGGACUGAGACACGGCCCAGACUCCUACGGGAGGCAGCAGUGGGGAAUUUUGGACGAUGGGCGAAAGCCUGAUCCAGCAAUGCCGCGUGUGUGAUGAAGGCCUUCGGGUUGUAAAGCACUUUUGGCGGGAACGAAAAGGACUGUGCCAAUACCACGGUUCGAUGACGGUACCCGCAGAAUAAGCACCGGCUAACUACGUG
rnacentral:rRNA from 1 species